rnacentral:rRNA from 1 species
GACGAACGCUGGCGGCGUGCUUAACACAUGCAAGUCGAACGGGAUCCGGGCUUUCGGGUUUGGUGAGAGUGGCGAACGGGUGAGUAACACGUGAGUAACCUGCCCCCUUCUUUGGGAUAACGUCGGGAAAUCGGCGCUAAUACUGGAUAUUCUUGCUGCAUCGCAUGGUGUGGUUUGGAAAGGGUUUCUGGUGGGGGAUGGGCUCGCGGCCUAUCAGCUUGUUGGUGGGGUGAUGGCCUACCAAGGCUUUGACGGGUAGCCGGCCUGAGAGGGUGUCCGGCCACACUGGGACUGGGACACGGCCCAGACUCCUACGGGAGGCAGCAGUGGGGAAUAUUGCACAAUGGGCGCAAGCCUGAUGCAGCGACGCCGCGUGAGGGAUGACGGCCUUCGGGUUGUAAACCUCUUUCAGUAUGGAACAAGGAUCCUUCUUUUGGGGGGUUUGAGGGUACGUGCAGAAGAAGCGCCGGCUAACUACGUG